rnacentral:rRNA from 1 species
UACAUGGGGUGCAAACGUUGCUCGGAAUUAUUAGGCGUAAAGAGCUCGUAGGCGGCCUGUCGCGUCGGUUGUGAAAGCCCGGGGCUUAACCCCGGGUCUGCAGUCGAUACGGGCAGGCUAGAGUUCGGUAGGGGAGACUGGAAUUCCUGGUGUAGCGGUGAAAUGCGCAGAUAUCAGGAGGAACACCGAUGGCGAAGGCAGCUCGCUGGGACGGUACUGACGCUGAGACGCGAAAGCGUGGGGAGCAAACAGG